GGGGAAGUGGAGGGGCAGGCACUGAUCUCUUUUCUCUGGUGACCAGCAACAGAACCCAAGGAAAUGGCAUGAAGCUGGAAAGCUGUGCAGCGCUCAAGACGCAAGAAAGACAUUUUUUACUCUGGCACAAGGAAGACCUCUGCAAGUGGAACAGGAUGGGAUCCAGGCACUUAGCACAGUGAGGAAAAAUAUCACAUGGAAGAAAAACACUCGGAACAAUAUUGCAUCCAUUCUUCUCACUGAAUUGAGGACUACCUGAUCUAGUUGAAGAUGUCUCUGCUAAUUGCGGGGGGUUGGACUAGAUGACCUUUAAAUGUCCCUUCCAACCCAAA